GUUAGCAUGACCUUCUCUUGGUUCUACUGACCUCCUUUGAGGGUGUUGGCCCACUGCUAAUUUAUGUUGCCCCCAUGCAUUGGGCUUUCAUGGAUAGAUGUAGAUCCGUGUUCUUUUUGAGAGAUGUGGACACUAAUUGGUGCUCAGGCCAAACAAACAAUUUAUUCUUCCCCGAAUUAACUCUUUGUGGUUUGUGGAGCAGCCUUAUAUGUAUCGAGAUGUAUUUUAUUAUGUCUUCAUGGGUAUCUGGGACCUGGUAGAGUUAGUGGGACUUGGGAGUAGGAAUGGGAGAAAGGGGCAGCAUGAUCUUACUAUGCAGACUGUAUUUCCAGAAACCUGCUCAGCCAGCUCCUGAUGGAGAACACAUGCAGGAAGAAGUUGGUCCCACUGAAGCAGGGGAGCAGGGAGGGACAUCUUGAGUGUGCACUGAACCAGAAAUAUUUGGUUGACUUCAACAAGAAAGAUAAAGACCCAGCAUCAUCUGGUCUCAGAAAGUGCAAGAGAGCUGGAAUUGGACACACCCCAGUAAGAGAGCUUCCUGAAGAAUAAGUUGCUUUCUCAGGAGUCCCUGAUGUCUAACAUCCUGAAUGAAAACACCACUUGAGAGACACCUUGGGAGACCGCCUUUCAUUACGUGUGCUAGAAGAGACACAGCAAUACAUCUGUGCUUCUACAUGUUCGUUAAAAAUAUGCAGUUUAGAAAUAUUUUUGUUAUGAUUUUAAUUGAAGUUUUUUUGUUGUUUCCUAUUUAUAUGUUCUUGUUACUAUUUUUCACUUUCAAAUAUUUUUAAAUAUUUUUAUUCAUUUUAAUCCUGUUUUGUUGGAAAAAAUGUAUUUGUUAUGAAUAAAAAUUGAAUUCUA